rnacentral:rRNA from 1 species
UACGUAGGGGGCAAGCGUUGUCCGGAAUCAUUGGGCGUAAAGAGCGUGUAGGCGGCCCGGUAAGUCCGCUGUGAAAGUCCAGGGCUCAACCCUGGGAUGCCGGUGGAUACUGUCGGGCUCGAGUCCGGAAGAGGAGUGUGGAAUUCCUGGUGUAGCGGUGAAAUGCGCAGAUAUCAGGAGGAACACCAAUGGCGAAGGCGGUGCUCUGGGCCGGAACUGACGCUGAGGAGCGAAAGCGUGGGGAGCAAACAGG